rnacentral:rRNA from 1 species
GACGUAGGGCGCGAGCGUUGUCCGGAUUUACUGGGCGUAAAGAGCUCGUAGGUGGUUUGUCGCGUUGUCCGUGAAAACUCACAGCUUAACUGUGGGCGUGCGGGCGAUACGGGCAGACUGGAGUACUGCAGGGGAGACUGGAAUUCCUGGUGUAGCGGUGGAAUGCGCAGAUAUCAGGAGGAACACCGGUGGCGAAGGCGGGUCUCUGGGCAGUAACUGACGCUGAGGAGCGAAAGCGUGGGGAGCGAACAGG